CCUGCAAGGCAAUGAUCUGAAAUGUCUGCAGACUGGUGUGAGCAGUGAGGAUGGAGAAGUCCACAGCAGCAUCCUGUAAAUGGUCCAGUGCCAUGGAUGAGACACUCCCAUCACUCCACCUGCCCUUACUCCCUCAUCUUGGCAAGAGAGAUGGGAUAAAGGGACCUCAAUCCCCCUGGAGCAACCUGGAGUAAAGAGCCUUACUGAAGGACACACUACUGGUGACUACUGCAGAGAUCGAACCAGCAAUCUUCUGCUUACUAGUUCAGUGGUUUUGCCCACUACACCACAAAAAUAGUCGUGCUCAUGGAGAGCAGCACAAAAAUGUUUGGAGCAGACACAGCGAUAGCCAGAUUGUCCCGCACAUGUUCUCCUGCUCUUGUUCAAGAUUGUGUGGUUCAGGGGCGUCGUCAUGGUCUUCCUCAUCCUCUCUCUGCAAUCAGGCAAGGACAGCCUCGAUGUCCCUUUCCCAUCCAUGAUCAGAUUCAGUCUGACUGCAGCAAUGAGGGAGGUGAUGGGCAGCAGAGACAGGUGAAGGUGGGACACGGUGGUCUGAUGCUUCAUCAGAAUAAAGCUGCAGAAAUGGCACAGCUGUGUUGAGAUGCAGUAGGAUGUGGAUUCACUGCCUGUAAAUACAUGUUUGUUAGAACAAUGUGUUUGAAUAUAGCUUUGUUUCAUG